rnacentral:rRNA from 1 species
UACGGAGGGUGCAAGCGUUAUUCGGAAUCACUGGGCGUAAAGAGCGCGUAGGCGGUUUUUAAAGUCAGAUGUGAAAGCCCGGGGCUCAACCCCGGAAGUGCAUUUGAAACUUAGGGACUUGAGUAUGGGAGAGGGAAGUGGAAUUCCUGGUGUAGCGGUGAAAUGCGUAGAUAUCAGGAGGAACAUCGGUGGCGAAGGCGACUUCCUGGACCAAUACUGACGCUGAGGCGCGAAGGCGUGGGGAGCAAACAGGAUUAGAUACCCCCGUA